AAAAUGAUAGUCUCAGGGAGGUGUUGGGGACCUAGUGGUCAAUCUUACAUGUGUCCAAUCAGAAAGGCAAAGGUCCUGUUCAUUUAGAAAGAAAUGGGAUUGUGUGAACCAAUUUAGAACUAUCAGAACAAUGACCUGGAAGAGGAGCCUCAUUCUAAUUAUGACUCUGUGUUCCAACCAGGCAUGAAAGAAAUCACAGUAAACCUAUUUCAGAGAAAGGCAAUCCCCAAUGUGGCAGAGUCUGCUGUCUUAUGCACAGUGAGGGCCAGUGAGUCAGGGAGGAAGCACACUAGAAAAUGAUCUUCGAUGACUAACACAGAGGCGGCUGUUCUCAUGUUGCCCUGAUGGAAAAAUUGGUGGGAUCACAGGAAUUAAUAAGAACUAUCGGCCCCUGCUGGGAUGCUCUGUCUUAAAAUGGGGACUUGUAUGUAUUUAAAUGGGAGGCGCUGGAUGGCACAAGAAGUCUGUCCUGGGAAGAUGAGAGGACUAAGUGGUACUUUGUCAUUAACCAACCCACAGGAUCACUCUGCACUAUCCGCAUGUGAGGACACAGCGAGAAGAUGGCCAUCUGUGAGCCAAGAACUGGGCUCUCACCAGAUACGGAAUCUGCCAGCCCCUUGAUCUUGGACUCACCAGCCUCCAGAACUGAGAAG
rnacentral:lncRNA from 1 species